UACGUAGGCAGCAAGCGUUGUUCGGAGUUACUGGGCGUAAAGGGUGUGUAGGCGGUUGUUUAAGUUUGGUGUGAAAUCUCCCGGCUCAACCGGGAGGGUGCGCCGAAUACUGAAUGACUUGGAGUGCGGGAGAGGAGAGUGGAACUGCGAGUGUAGAGGUGAAAUUCGUAGAUAUUCGCAAGAACACCCGUGGCGAAGGCGGCUCUCUGGGACGGUACUGACGCUGAGACGCGAAAGCGUGGGGAGCGAACAGG
rnacentral:rRNA from 1 species